GGGUACAUGGUCUAGUGGUAUGAUUUUCGCUUUGCAUUGUGUGGUUUGGUGUCUGAGCAAGUCUCUCUCAUCAUCUCUAGCCGCAAUUUACCUGUGAAAGGUCCCCGGUUCAAUCCCGGGUGUAUCCA